rnacentral:rRNA from 1 species
AACGAACGCUGGCGGCAUGCCUAACACAUGCAAGUCGAACGAGACCUUCGGGUCUAGUGGCGCACGGGUGCGUAACGCGUGGGAACCUGCCCUUAGGUUCGGAAUAACUCCCCGAAAGGGGUGCUAAUACCAGAUAAUGUCUUCGGACCAAAGAUUUAUCGCCUUUGGAUGGGCCCGCGUUGGAUUAGCUAGUUGGUAGGGUAAAAGCCUACCAAGGCGACGAUCCAUAGCUGGUCUGAGAGGAUGAUCAGCCACACUGGGACUGAGACACGGCCCAGACUCCUACGGGAGGCAGCAGUGGGGAAUAUUGGACAAGGGGCGAAAGCCUGAUCCAGCAAUGCCGCGUGAGUGAUGAAGGCCUUAGGGUUGUAAAGCUCUUUUACCCGGGAUGAUAAUGACAGUACCGGGAGAAUAAGCUCCGGCUAACUCCGUG